CCACUCUGGAGACAGAGCUUUCCCUUCGGGGACAAAGUGACAGGUGGUGCAUGGUUGUCGUCAGCUCGUGUCGUGAGAUGUUGGGUUAAGUCCCGCAACGAGCGCAACCCUUGAUUUUAGUUGCCAGCAUUUAGUUGGGCACUCUAAAGUGACUGCCGGUGCAAGCCGGAGGAAGGUGGGGAUGACGUCAAAUCAUCAUGCCCCUUAUGACCUGGGCUACACACGUGCUACAAUGGAUAGUACAAAGGGUCGCGAAGCCGCGAGGUGGAGCUAAUCCCAUAAAACUAUUCUCAGUUCGGAUUGUAGGCUGCAACUCGCCUACAUGAAGCCGGAAUCGCUAGUAAUCGUGGAUCAGCAUGCCACGGUGAAUACGUUCCCGGGCCUUGUACACACCGCCCGUCACACCACGAGAGUUUGUAACACCCGAAGUCGGUAGGGUAACCUUUAUGGAGCCAGCCGCCGAAGGUGGGACAGAUAAUUGGGGUGAAGUCGUAACAAGGUAGCCGUAUCGGAAGGUGCGGCUGGAUCACCUCCUUUCUAAGGAA
rnacentral:rRNA from 1 species